UACGUAGGGGGCAAGCGUUGUCCGGAAUCAUUGGGCGUAAAGAGCGCGUAGGCGGCCCUGUAAGUCCGCUGUGAAAGUCAAGGGCUCAACCCUUGAAUGCCGGUGGAUACUGCAGGGCUAGAGUCCGGAAGAGGCGAGUGGAAUUCCUGGUGUAGUGGUGGAAUGCGUAGAUAUCGGGAGGAACACCAGUGGCGAAGGCGGUUGCCUGGAGCUUUGCUGACGCUGAUGCGCGAAAGCGUGGGGAGCGAUCCGG
rnacentral:rRNA from 1 species